CACCAGCGUCGCGAGUGGUGACCGGAUUAUUGGGCCUAAAGCGUUCGUAGCAGGCUUUGUAAAUCUUUUGUGAAAUUGUUGGGCUUAACCUAACAACGUGCAAGAGACACUGCAAGGCUAGGAACCGGGAGAGGUAAGGAGUAUGCUGGGGGGAGCGGUAAAAUGUGAUAAUCCUCGGUAGACUACCAGUGGCGAAGGCGCCUUACCAGAACGGAUUCGACUGUGAGGAACGAAAGCUAGGGGAGCAAACCGGAUUAGA
rnacentral:rRNA from 1 species